UAGGGACUCUUCGGCAAUGGGGGCAACCCUGACCGAGCAACGCCGCGUGAGUGAAGAAGGUUUUCGGAUCGUANAGCUCUGUUGUAAGAGAAGAACGAGUGUGAGAGUGGAAAGUUCACACUGUGACGGUAACUUACCAGAAAGGGACGGCUAAGUACGUGCCAGCAGCCGCGGUAAUACGUAGGUCCCGAGCGUUAUCCGGAUUUAUUGGGCGUAAAGCGAGCGCAGGCGGUAAGAUAAGUUUGAAGUUAACGGCUGAGGUUUACCCAUAGUACGCUUUGGAAACUGUUUAACUCGACUGCAGAAGUGGAGAGUGGAAUUCCACGUGUAGCGGUGAAAUGCGCAGAAAUUUGGAGGAACACCGGUGGAGAAAGCGGCUCUGUGGUCUGUAACUGACGCUGAGGCUCGAAAGCGUGGGGAGCAAACAGGAUUAGAUACCCUGGUCGUUCACGCCGUAAAUGAUGAGUGAUAGGUGUUGGGUCCUUUCCGGGAACCAGUGCCGCAGCUAACGCAUUAAUCACUCCGCCUGGGGAGUACGACCGCAAGGCG
rnacentral:rRNA from 1 species